CCUUCAGUGGCCACACCUUCUUCCUGCCAGCGGCUUCCAGCAACCCUGUUGAAGUCGCAGCUGUCCGUGAGUAUCCUCCUGGUUGGUGGCAAAGACCCAGAGAGCUGGAAUUGUCUGACGUCGUAGCGCUUCGCUGCAUCGCAGUAGAGUCUGGGCUACAUCAGAGUGUUCUGACGCACAAAUUCGAGGAAAGGGAGAUUGGUUGGGAGGUGUGGAAACUAAAGCAGAGACCGGGACACAGCCAGCAUGUGUGAACACUUGGAGUUGAAUCUGGGUCGGUGGGAACCAGAGCUCAACCUCUAAACCAUUAUGUUAUACAGCAAAGAGUCAAAAUGGUUUUAUUUAUUUAUUUGACACAGAGAGAGAGAGAGCAC